rnacentral:lncRNA from 1 species
UUCUUCCGCCAAAUUUUGUUCUUGCGAUAAAUGUUUGUUUCGCAAUAUGUCGCUUAGAUAUUUCUCAUAUGGUAUCGUAUAGUUUAUGCGCUUUUAAAUUUCACCCUGCUAAGCCGAACCAUUUUCUUUGUAAGAGUUAUCUCCCUUUUCACUGUUUAUCAUCUGUGUGCAUCUCCUUCGUAACAAAAAAAAGAUAGCGACAAAAUUCUUUUUACAAAUUGUUCGUUACAUCCUCAGUAAUUUUUGGCGUAUUUGGAUCGAAGCGAUUCGAUGAAAUUUUAUAGGAGUUAUCUACCUUUACAAAAUAAAUUUGUCGGUAUGUUUAUUUAACUCAUAAACAGUUAACCGUAUAACCCUGGAAUGUUUUUAUUUGAGUCCCCUAGGUCCUAACUUAGAAAAUGAGGUCAAGGUCAAAGGUCAAGGUCAAGUUCUCAAUUGUGACUUUUGCUUGUUUUUUGCAUUUUCUCCGACACUUUGAGAGAUACAUAUAAAAGAACAAGUGCAAAAUGUCUGCUUUAUUGUAAUGAAGAUAUGCUACAUUUAGUCUUAUACAAUUAAAUGGCAUCUUAUAGGAGUUGGUGCCCCUGAAAUGUCUUGAUAUGAGGUUAUUUGAUUAUAACUUCAAUUAAGUUCAUUAUAAAGACAUUUGACCUUAUACAAAAGGUUAAGUGACAAAUGACCUUGAAAAAUGGCUACCGGAAGUGACCUUGAGAAAACCGGAAGUAGCUUUUUUUGCAAUUUUUUCACAUAAAAGUACUCAGAAUCCAUAUAUUUUGUCAUAUAGAUACAUGAACAAGAU